rnacentral:rRNA from 1 species
GGAUCGGAGUCUGCAACCCGACUCCGUGAAGCUGGAUUCGCUAGUAAUCGCGCAUCAGCCAUGGCGCGGUGAAUACGUUCCCGGGCCUUGUACACACCGCCCGUCAAGCCAUGGAAGCCGGGGGCGCUUGAAGUGCGUUGCCGCAAGGCGCGCCCUAGAGCGAAACCGGUGACUGGGGCUAAGUCGUAACAAGGUAAC